rnacentral:rRNA from 1 species
UGAGAGCUCUUUCUUGAUUCUAUGGGUGGUGGUGCAUGGCCGUUCUUAGUUGGUGGAGUGAUUUGUCUGCUUAAUUGCGUUAACGAACGAGACCUUAACCUGCUAAAUAGUUAUGCCAACUUUUGUUGGUAGUCAACUUCUUAGAGGGACUGUCGGCAUCAAGCCGACGGAAGUUUGAGGCAAUAACAGGUCUGUUAUGCCCUUAGAUGUCCUGGGCCGCACGCGCGCUACACUGAUGAAGUCAACGAGUUUAUAACCUUGGCCGGAAGGUCUGGGUAAUCUUUUGAAACUUCAUCGUGCUGGGGAUAGAGCAUUGCAAUUAUUGCUCUUCAACGAGGAAUUCCUAGUAAGCGUGAGUCAUCAGCUCGCGCUGAUUACGUCCCUGCCCUUUGUACACACCGCCCGUCGCUACUACCGAUUGAAUGGCUUAGUGAGUCCCUCGGAUCGCGCCAUGAGC